AUUACAGGUUUUGCGCAUGCGCAGGGGUGUACGUGCAUGUGACGCGCACGCAUGUGGGGCCUGUGCUUCCAAACCGGUAAGGAAGAUUUCAUGACUGGACUACCUUUGGAGGAAGAGUGUUAUAGAAAUUACUAAUAACAACAAUUAACAACAGAGGCAAGACUGCAAUAAGAAGGUCCUUCUUGGGUGAUUUCAAAAAGAAUUAGAGACUAUUUUAAAGGAUUAUCAAUAGUUACAAGUCAAACAGCUAGAUUUCAUUUGAGAUAAUUUGUGGAAUGUCUAUUUUAAUCACACUGCUGGAAUAAACAUUGUUGGAAACAAAA